UGGCUCAGGACGAACGCUGGCGGUAUGCUUAACACAUGCAAGUCGAACGAGAAGGAAGAGCUUGCUCUUCCUGAAAGUGGCGAACGGGUGAGUAACGCGUGGGUAACCUACCCUUUGGAAAGGAAUAGCCUCGGGAAACUGGGAGUAAUGCCUUAUAAGAUACGUUUGUCGCAUGGCAUUUGUAUUAAACGCUCCGGCGCCAUAGGAUGGACCCGCGUCCCAUUAGCUAGUUGGUGAGAUAACAGCUCACCAAGGCCACGAUGGGUAACCGGUCUGAGAGGGCGAACGGUCACACUGGAACUGAGACACGGUCCAGACUCCUACGGGAGGCAGCAGUGGGGAAUAUUGCGCAAUGGGGGCAACCCUGACGCAGCAACACCGCGUGAGUGAAGAAGGUUUUCGGAUCGUAAAGCUCUGUUAUUGGGGAAGAAAAAAAGACGGUACCCAAGAAGAAAGUUCCGGCUAACUACGUGCCAGCAGCCGCGGUAAUACGUAGGGAACAAGCGUUGUCCGGAUUUACUGGGCGUAAAGGGCACGCAGGCGGUUUUUUAAGUCAGAUGUGAAAGGCCACAGCUCAACUGUGGACAUGCAUUUGAAACUGAAAGACUUGAGUAUUGGAGAGGCAAGUGGAAUUCCUAGUGUAGCGGUGAAAUGCGUAGAUAUUAGGAGGAACACCGGUGGCGAAGGCGGCUUGCUGGACAAAUACUGACGCUGAUGGCUCAGGACGAACGCUGGCGGUAUGCUUAACACAUGCAAGUCGAACGAGAAGGAAGAGCUUGCUCUUCCUGAAAGUGGCGAACGGGUGAGUAACGCGUGGGUAACCUACCCUUUGGAAAGGAAUAGCCUCGGGAAACUGGGAGUAAUGCCUUAUAAGAUACGUUUGUCGCAUGGCAUUUGUAUUAAACGCUCCGGCGCCAUAGGAUGGACCCGCGUCCCAUUAGCUAGUUGGUGAGAUAACAGCUCACCAAGGCCACGAUGGGUAACCGGUCUGAGAGGGCGAACGGUCACACUGGAACUGAGACACGGUCCAGACUCCUACGGGAGGCAGCAGUGGGGAAUAUUGCGCAAUGGGGGCAACCCUGACGCAGCAACACCGCGUGAGUGAAGAAGGUUUUCGGAUCGUAAAGCUCUGUUAUUGGGGAAGAAAAAAAGACGGUACCCAAGAAGAAAGUUCCGGCUAACUACGUGCCAGCAGCCGCGGUAAUACGUAGGGAACAAGCGUUGUCCGGAUUUACUGGGCGUAAAGGGCACGCAGGCGGUUUUUUAAGUCAGAUGUGAAAGGCCACAGCUCAACUGUGGACAUGCAUUUGAAACUGAAAGACUUGAGUAUUGGAGAGGCAAGUGGAAUUCCUAGUGUAGCGGUGAAAUGCGUAGAUAUUAGGAGGAACACCGGUGGCGAAGGCGGCUUGCUGGACAAAUACUGACGCUGA
rnacentral:rRNA from 1 species